UUUGUUUUGAGCUAUUUGUGAACAGACUCAUGGUUGGGUUAUUUGUGUGUCUGGCUUCCUUUGUUCAGUUACGUUUACCAGAUUCAUCCACGCUGUUGUGUGUAGCUACGGUGUAUCCAUUUUCCUGGCUGUAUAGUAUUCCACUGCAUUGAUAUGCCAUAUUUAUUUGUCGAUACUGCUGUUGAUGAAUAUUUGGGUUGUUUCCAGGUCUCGACUAUUAUACGCAAGGCUGUCAUGAACAUUCUAGGUAUGUGUAUCCUGGUACAAAUGUGCAUGCAUUUCUCCAGCGUUUAUAUCUAGAAGUGGAAUUGUUAGGUCAUAGGGUGUGCACAUCACCCCUUUAUGAAAUAAUAGCCAAUGGUUUUCCAAGUUGUUGUGCCUCUUCUUCCUCUCUCUCUUGCAUAACUGUUUAUGCAAGAAUUGCUGGUCCCACGGAGAUGCUUCAGGAGAAAGAACUUCAGUUGAGAAAUCAAUCUGCGUGCGCCUUUGUUUCUUUCCUCAUGUUACUGAUGGAGCCUGUCAGCCCCUGCCUCACUGUUCCAGCCUCUGUGACUGGAGCUCCCCAAGGGAAGCCGGCUGUCAUGUUGCCAGUCACCCUAUGGAGAGACUCAUAUGGCAAGGAAGUGGUGUCCCCCACCAGUAGCCAGCGAGGACUGGAAGCCUGACCACAGCCUGCACGUGAGCAUGGAGACACAUUCUCUCCCAGUCAGGUCUUGAGGUAACUGCCCCACCGACACCUUGCUCCCAGCCUUAUGACUGAUCCUGAGACAAAGCACCCAGAAAAGUACUCCCAGAUCCCUGACCCCCCAAAACUUUGAGAUGAUAAAUGUGAGCUGUUUUAAGCUAU